rnacentral:rRNA from 1 species
UACGGGGGGAGCAAGCGUUGUUCGGAUUUACUGGGCGUAAAGGGCGCGUAGGCGGCCUCUGCAAGUCGACUGUGAAAUCUCCGGGCUUAACCCGGAACGGUCAGCCGAUACUGCAGGGCUAGAGUGCAGAAGGGGCAACCGGAAUUCUCGGUGUAGCGGUGAAAUGCGUAGAUAUCGGGAGGAACACCAAUGGCGAAGGCAGCUCGCUGGGACGUUACGUGACGCUGAGACGCGAAAGCGUGGGGAGCAAACAGGG